rnacentral:rRNA from 1 species
GACGAACGCUGGCGGCGUGCCUAAUACAUGCAAGUCGAACGCAGUGGGGACGGGUGAGUAACACGUGGGUAACCUCCCAUCAGAGGGGAUAACACUUGGAAACAGGUGCUAAACCGAUACUGAUGGAUGGACCCGCGGUGCAUUAGCUAGUUGGUGAGGUAACGGCUCACCAAGGCAACGAUGCAUAGCCGACAGGAGAGGGGGAUCGGAAACACUGGGACUGAGACACGGCCCAGACUCCUACGUGAGGCAGCAGUAGGGAAUCUUCGGCAAUGAACGAAAGGAUGACCGAGCAACGCCGCGUGAGUUAAGAAGGUUUUGGGAUAGGAAUACUCUGUUGUUAGAGAAGAGGUAUCUAACCAGAAAGCCACGGCUAACUACGUGCCAGCAGCCGCGGUAAUUC